AAAGACUCAGUCCUAACCUUAUAGUUAGUUUCUGCUAGAUAUAUACAUGCAAGUAUCCGCACUCCAGUGUAAAUGCCCUCUAACCCCCUUACCAAGGCAAUUAGGAGCAGGUAUCAGGCGCACUAAACCCCCCUGUAGCCCAAGACACCUUGCUCAGCCACWCCCCCACGGGUAUUCAGCAGUAAUUGACAUUAAGCAAUAAGUGAAAACUUGACUUAGUCAUAGCRRCCCCAUUUAGGGUUGGUAAAUCUUGUGCCAGCCAMCGCGGUCAUACAAGAAACCCAAAUUAACUUUUAUGCGGCGUAAAGAGUGGCYCCAGUAAUAUCCCCAACAACUAAAAUUAAAAUACAMCUAAGCYGUCAUAAGCCCAARAUGUACCUAAACCCCCUACGAACAUAUUUUAGUCCUAAGAUUAACCACAASCCACGAAASCCAAGGCACAAACUGGGAUUAGAUACCCCACUAUGCUUGGCCCUAAAUCUUGAUCCUUCCCCCACUGAAGCAUCCGCCCGAGAACUACGAGCACAAACGCUUAAAACUCUAAGGACUUGGCGGUGCUCUAAACCCAUCUAGAGGAGCCUGUUCUGUAAUCGAUAACCCACGAUGUACCUAACCCUCCCUCGCCGAAUCAGCCUAUAUACCGCCGUCGCCAGUUCACCUUUACUGAAAGCCCAACAGUGAACACAAUAGUCCAGGCCCACUAAUAAGACAGGUCAAGGUAUAGCCCAUGGGAGGGAAGAAAUGGGCUACAUUCUCUAAACUAGAGUAUACCGCAAGGGACGUGAAAUCUUCCCCAAAAGGCGGAUUUAGCAGUAAAGCGGAACAAUAGUGUCCCCUUUAAACCGGCUCUAGAGCACGUACAUACCGCCCGUCACCCUCCUCACAAGCUAUCAGCCUACUAACUAAUACACCACCAAGCUAAAGAUGAGGUAAGUCGUAACAAGGUAAGCGUACCGGAAGGUGCGCUUAGUCCAC
rnacentral:ncRNA from 1 species